GUUCCCUCUUUCUCUGUGUCGGCCUUGUUAUUAUCCACAUCCUGUUGUUAUUGUGGGUGUGUAUAAAACCCCUCCACUCAGUGUAAAGGUGUCAGCAGCAUGUCAGUCUGAACUUCCACUACAUAGAGGAAAAGGAGACGUUCCCUCUUUCUCUGUGUCGGCCUUGUUAUUAUCCACAUCCUGUUGUUAUUGUGGGUGUGUAUAAAACCCCUCCACUCAGUGUAAAGGUGUCAGCAGCAUGUCAGUCUGAACUUCCACUACAUAGAGGAAAAGGAGACGUUCCCUCUUUCUCUGUGUCGGCCUUGUUAUUAUCCACAUCCUGUUGUUAUUGUGGGUGUGUAUAAAACCCCUCCACUCAGUGUAAAGGUGUCAGCAGCAUGUCAGUCUGAACUUCCACUACAUAGAGGAAAAGGAGACGUUCCCUCUUUCUCUGUGUCGGCCUUGUUAUUAUCCAGAUCCUGUUGUUAUUGUGGGUGUGUAUAAAACCCCUCCACUCAGUGUAAAGGUGUCAGCAGCAUGUCAGUCUGAACUUCCACUACAUAGAGGAAAAGGAGACGUUCCCUCUUUCUCUGUGUCGGCCUUGUUAUUAUCCAGAUCCUGUUGUUAUUGUGGGUGUGUAUAAAACCCCUCCACUCAGUGUAAAGGUGUCAGCAGCAUGUCAGUCUGAACUUCCACUACAUAGAGGAAAAGGAGACGUUCCCUCUUUCUCUGUGUCGGCCUUGUUAUUAUCCACAUCCUGUUGUUAUUGUGGGUGUGUAUAAAACCCCUCCACUCAGUGUAAAGGUGUCAGCAGCAUGUCAGUCUGAACUUCCACUACAUAGAGGAAAAGGAGACGUUCCCUCUUUCUCUGUGUCGGCCUUGUUAUUAUCCAGAUCCUGUUGUUAUUGUGGGUGU